CAGUCGCGCGGGAACACAUAAGAUGCAAGCGUUAUCCGGAAUGAUUGGGCGUGAAGCAUCUGUAGGUUGCUUUUCAAGUCUGCAGUCAAAUCCCAGGGCUCAACCCUGGACAGGUGGUGGAAAUUACCAAGCUGGAGUACGGUAGGGGUAGAGGGAAUUUCUGGUGGAGUGGUGGAAUGCGUUGAGAUCAUAAAGAACAACAAUGGCGAAAGCACUCUGCUGGGCCGACAUUGACACUGAGAGAUGAAAGCAAGGGGAGAAAAUUGGGUUAGAUACCCCCGUAGUCCCUGUCUCUUAUACA
rnacentral:rRNA from 1 species